UACGUAUGGGGCAAGCGUUAUCCGGAAUUAUUGGGCGUAAGAGUGCGUAGGUGGUUACCUAAGCGCAAGGUUUAAUCUUGAGGCUCAACCUCAUUCUGCCUUGCGAACUGGGCUACUUGAGUGCAGGAGGGGAAAGCGGAAUUCCCAGUGUAGCGGUGAAAUGCGUAGAUAUUGGGAAGAACACCGGUGGCGAAGGCGGCUUUCUGGACUGUAACUGACACUGAGGCACGAAAGCGUGGGGAGCAAACAGGAUUAGAUACCCCGGUAGUCCCUGA
rnacentral:rRNA from 1 species